UUCUGAGAUUCCUGGAGGCAGGAUCACCCUUUUUGGACUGAGGUCAAAGAGGAUGUCAAGGACCACCCCGACAACAACAACAACAAAAACAUUUCUUACCAGCCUAGAGGCGUGGGACAAAGGAAGACAAUUCACACAACAGUGUAAAUAAGAAGUUUCAGGACUUAUUCAGAUCCUGAAAUCCCCGUGUUUAUUUUUGCAACCGCUUUUAUAUCAGUGUCAACUGGGGAGAAGGUCUCAGAGAACCCUGCAGUAAAACAAGUUGAAAGAGGAUAAGAGUCAGAAGAAAAGAGAUCAUCAAGAAAAGGACGUCUUUUAAGCACAGUAGGAAUGGCUCACAUAUGAACUCACAGAUACAUGGGCAGCAUGCACUGGCCCUGCAUUGGUUUGCGCAAAAUGGAGCCCUAGAGCUGAAAGAAGUGGACACACAAUUCCAUCCUUAAUCUAGAAGCUAUAUCCAAUGGGAAAUCAUUUGCAAUCUCUCUCCAAGAGUCUCCCUUGGAAAACAAACUACUCU